CUGUCUCCCCCCCACAUAAGAGCGUAUGGCCAAAAGAGAUGUAGCAUAUCUAAGAAGAAAAAAUAUGAAGUGAAAAUGAGUGAGAAAUUAUUAUUUUUUAACAUUUAAAGUGAGGUAGUAACAUUUUGCAGGAAAAAAGUCACAAGAGAGUGUAUUCAUCUUCAGAAGGAGUCAAAAAUGACGGAGGAAAGAGUUGCAGUGAAGAGCAGGUUAUGCUGAGUUUUCUUUCGGGAGUAUGUCAUCUGUUGACAUAUCAUAACUUUCAUUAUCAGGGGACACGCAUGCAGAUAGAUUAGGGCAGAAAACACACACAUGUAUGCACAAAAACACACAUGCACACAUUCAAAUAAUACAGUUGGGGCCCCGGACGGAAGUGCCCAAAGCUAACAGUGCUGGCCUGACCGAUACACUGAAAUGCCUGACCCUGUGAAACCAUUGUCUGUAACAAGUAUCUGGGCUACGUAUGGACAGAGACAAGACAAAAAUACAUAUUAAACCGAAGCACAAGUAACAACAGCUGGCAAAGCAUUUUCUCAAAUUUGCAAAGCUAAGUGCCAAAGUGCAUGUUUAAAUUUGCAGCUUCUGUUUAUUGGCGUGCACAUAAUUAAUUCUGCCUGUGAGAAUCAGCGAUCUUUAAUUGGCAGCAAGCACUACAGAGGCCUGGAAGUGUGAGCACUUUAACCUGAAGUUGACACCGCCUCAGGGUUCAGCGUGCACUGACACCGCCCCACAACCAGCGCCAUUUGGUGGCGCUAGAAAAUAUUGGAGAAACAUGUUAAUCUGGCUGAUGUGUGCAAAGAAGGGGGGAAAACAGCAAUGCGGAGAGAAAACAGUGAAUCAAGCUGCAAACCAACAAUAAUUCACACAACGCAGCAGAUUGUGCCUUCUGUUGUGACAGGAGCUUCGAGGAGGUGCUUAGCAGAGGUCAAACAGGCCACCAGCUUCUGACGAGAGGCACUGCGUGCAAAGAAGAACUCAUGGGACAUCCCUGCCAGUAUAGCCCCGAGCACCGGCCCGAUCCAGUAAACCUGCAGAGAUGAGGACUGCCCCGAAUUAGAAGUGACCGGUCAUCGAAGAUUUGGAGUUUGGAUUUGUGUCUCACCCAGUGGUCUUCCCAGAAGCCUGUGAUGAUGGCUGGACCCAGCGAGCGGGCGGGAUUCAUACUCGCGCCAGAGAACCGAGCCUGAAGAAAAACAACAUCACAAUAAGG